rnacentral:rRNA from 1 species
GACGAACGCUGGCGGCGUGCUUAACACAUGCAAGUCGAACGGAAAGGCCCUGCUUUUGUGGGGUGCUCGAGUGGCGAACGGGUGAGUAGCACGUGAGUAACCUGCCCUUGACUUUGGGAUACUUCAGGAAACUGGGGCUAAUACCGGAUAGGAGCUCCUGCUGCAUGGUGGGGGUUGGAAAGUUUCGGCGGUUGGGGAUGGACUCGCGGCUUAUCAGCUUGUUGGUGGGGUAGUGGCUUACCAAGGCUUUGACGGGUAGCCGGCCUGAGAGGGUGACCGGCCACAUUGGGACUGAGAUACGGCCCAGACUCCUACGGGAGGCAGCAGUGGGGAAUAUUGCACAAUGGGCGGAAGCCUGAUGCAGCAACGCCGCGUGCGGGAUGACGGCCUUCGGGUUGUAAACCGCUUUCGCCUGUGACGAAGCGUGAGUGACGGUAAUGGGUAAAGAAGCACCGGCUAACUACGUG